ACUUUUGGUCUAGCGGCUUAGGAUCCCGCGCUCCCACCACUGUGGCCUGGGUUCGAUUCCCGGGCAGAGAA